AGUAAGGUAAGUUAACCAAACUGUUGGGCUCAUGCUCCAAAAAUAGAGAUGAAAAUUCUCUCCUUACCC
rnacentral:tRNA from 1 species